GGUAAUAUGGCUGAGUAAGCACUAGACUGUAAAUCUAGAGACAAGGGUUGAAUCCCUUUGUUACCA
rnacentral:tRNA from 1 species